rnacentral:misc_RNA from 1 species
GAAAAAGAAAAAAAUUCAGAGACAAAAAUCGAGCCUUGUAUUUGUAUCCCUGAAUUUUGCUCUUUAGAUUGGUUCCGAUUAUCUAUAAAUUCUGGUUUAUCGAAGUUGGUGAGCUCAACAGAGUCGAGUUACGAAGAAUUGGAGAACUGUCUCUGCGUGGGUUUCAGAAGAGAAGAGACGUGAGGAAAUGUGGGGAUUUGGGGGAAGUUGUUAUUGGGGGAGAAGGGAAAAGAAAAGGGAAGGGAUAGUGGUGGUAUUUGCUUGGAUGUCGAGCCAAGAGAAG